rnacentral:rRNA from 1 species
UACGGGGGGGGGCAAGCGUUGUUCGGAAUUAUUGGGCGUAAAGAGCUCGUAGGCGGUCUGUCGCGUCGGCUGUGAAAACCCGGGGCUCAACCCCGGGCCUGCAGUCGAUACGGGCAGGCUAGAGUUCGGUAGGGGAGACUGGAAUUCCUGGUGUAGCGGUGAAAUGCGCAGAUAUCAGGAGGAACACCGGUGGCGAAGGCGGUUCUCUGGGCAUUACCUGACGCUGAGGAGCGAAAGUGUGGGGAGCGAACAGG